UACAGAGGUCUCAAGCGUUGUUCGGAUUCAUUGGGCGUAAAGGGUGCGUAGGCGGCGCGGUAAGUCGGGUGUGAAAUCUCGGAGCUUAACUCCGAAACUGCAUUCGAUACUGCCGUGCUUGAGGACUGGAGAGGAGACUGGAAUUCCCGGUGUAGCGGUGAAAUGCGCAGAUAUCGGGAAGAACACCCGUGGCGAAGGCGGCUCUCUGGGACGGUACUGACGCUGAGACGCGAAAGCGUGGGGAGCGAACAGG
rnacentral:rRNA from 1 species